rnacentral:rRNA from 1 species
CCCUGGUAGUCCACGCCGUAAACGAUGUCGAUUUGGNAGGUUGUGCCCUUGAGGCGUGGCUUCCGGAGCUAACGGCGUUNAAAUCGACCGCCUGGGGAGUACGGCCGCAAGGNUUAAAACUCAAAUGAAUUGACGGGGGCCCGCACAAGCGGUGGAGCAUGUGGUUUAAUUCGAUGCAACGCGAAGAACCUUACCUGGUCUUGACAUCCACAGAACUUUCCAGAGAUGGUUGGUGCCUUCGGGAACUGUGAGACAGGUGCU